CCAUAUGAGAUAAGGCUAGUAUAGAUUUUUCCAAACCAUUGUCGAGACGCUUGUUUGAGUCCAACAAGUUCUUAUUCAGUUUGCAAACCAAUAAAGGAUCAUGUGUAAAAUAACUUUGUGGUAGCCUCAUAUAGACUUCCGCAUCCUAUUAAGUAUAUCCUUUAACAACCAGCCGCGCUUUGUAUCUUUCCAUAGUGCCACCUGCCUUGAACUUAACUUUAUAAACACAUUUGCAUCCAAUAACAUGUUUGUCAUGUGGCAGAUACAUGAGGGUCCAAGUAUUAUUCUUUCAAGAGCUUUGAUUUCUGUAUUCAUAGCUUCAUGCUAGUAUGGAUAUUUGACAGAUUGUCGAGUGAAUUUAGGUUCAAAGACUGUUAGGGGGCUAAUCGAUUAGGUGAAAUGAAAUGAGGUAAGGAAUAAGGUUUACCUGAUCACAUGGUCUGGCCAGCAUUGUAGAAGACUGGAUUACAGUGAAAGAAGAGGAUAAAUCACAAUGAUAAUCAUUUAGAUAAGAAAGUAGAUGUCUAGUUCUAUUAGAUUGUCAGGAGGAAGUUAAGGGGGAGAAAUAGGUAUGCUAAUGUCUGAUAACUCAGGAGAGUGUGAAAGAGGACUAAAAUUGGGAUUUUCUGGCAAUGAUAGUUAAGAAACAUGAUCACAAAUUGUAUCGGCAAAGACAGUUUUUGAGAUAAAUGAAGUAGAGAUGAUGUUGAGGGCUAGUAUUUGGGUUGUUUGUGAUGUGGAAUAAAAAAUAGGCUCAAGUAUAGGAAAAAAGUGUGGAUUUGUAGGUGAGUGAUGUAAUGAGGACUGUUUGCAGGGAAAUGAAUUUUCAUGGAAAAUUAUAUUCCUGCUAAUAAAGAUUUUUUGAGUUUGUAAAUCAUAUACUUUGUAACCUUUGUAUCUAAGAGGGUAUCCAAGAAAUAUGCACUUGGAUGCUUGAGGAGAAAACUUUAUUUGUGAACAUUGAGUAUAGAUGCAAAGCAAAGGCAACCAAAAGUUUUAAGAUGGUCAUAUUAUGGUGGCUUUUGGAAGAGCUGCUCAUAAGGAGUUUUUUUUUUUUUUUUUUGCCAAGAAUGGGUGAUGGAAUACGAUUUAUGAGGUGAACUGUUGUAAGUGUGCAAUCACUCCAACAGGUGAGAG
rnacentral:lncRNA from 1 species